UAGGGAAUCUUCGGCAAUGGACGAAAGUCUGACCGAGCAACGCCGCGUGAGUGAAGAAGGUUUUCGGAUCGUAAAACUCUGGUGUUAGAGAAGAACAAGGACGUUAGUAACUGAACGUCCCCUGACGGUAUCUAACCAGAAAGCCACGGCUAACUACGUGCCAGCAGCCGCGGUAAUACGUAGGUGGCAAGCGUUGUCCGGAUUUAUUGGGCGUAAAGCGAGCGCAGGCGGUUUCUUAAGUCUGAUGUGAAAGCCCCCGGCUCAACCGGGGAGGGUCAUUGGAAACUGGGAGACUUGAGUGCAGAAGAGGAUAGUGGAAUUCCAUGUGUAGCGGUGAAAUGCGUAGAUAUAUGGAGGAACACCAGUGGCGAAGGCGGCUCUCUGGUCUGUAACUGACGCUGAGGCUCGAAAGCGUGGGGAGCAAACAGG
rnacentral:rRNA from 1 species